rnacentral:ncRNA from 1 species
GCAGAGUAGAAUAUUGUGCGUCAAGUGCCGAUUGAACAGGGAGUUGUCAAUCGGACGAAAAGUGGCUUCCCACCACUUGCGGUACAGUGUUCGCAUCCCGCUGC